UAGGGAAUAUUGGACAAUGGGGGCAACCCUGAUCCAGCCAUGCCGCGUGAGUGAAGAAGGCCCUCGGGUUGUAAAGCUCUUUUGUCCGGAAAGAAAAGCUUCGGGUUAAUACCCCGGGGUUCUGACGGUACCGGAAGAAUAAGCACCGGCUAACUUCGUGCCAGCAGCCGCGGUAAUACGAAGGGUGCAAGCGUUACUCGGAAUUACUGGGCGUAAAGCGUGCGUAGGUGGUUGCUUAAGUCUGAUGUGAAAGCCCUGGGCUCAACCUGGGAAUGGCAUUGGAAACUGGGCAGCUAGAGUGCGGUAGAGGGUAGUGGAAUUCCCGGUGUAGCAGUGAAAUGCGUAGAGAUCGGGAGGAACAUCUGUGGCGAAGGCGACUGCCUGGACCAGCACUGACACUGAGGCACGAAAGCGUGGGGAGCAAAC
rnacentral:rRNA from 1 species